ensembl:lncRNA
AGAGGAAGGAGUUACAGCGAUAUUUGUUUGAGUUGAACCCGAAUGAUGAAGACGAACAGGAGAAGACCAGCAACCUCCAGACCCAGCAAAAUGUGGUCUCAGGAACUGCAGAAGACAUGGAAUAGGACAGAUCCCAGGAAGACAGCCCCCUGAAGAAUAACACCAUUUGAGAGACAUCUGAGGGGACUGCCUUGACAUCUCGUGUCCUAGAGGAGAAACAGCACUACAACUGUGUUUCUAAAUGUUCAUUAAGAAAAUGCUGUUAAGAAAUGUUUUUGGUUAUGAUUUUCAUUGUAGUUUUCUUU